rnacentral:rRNA from 1 species
CCGUCGGCGACCGGCGCACGGGUGAGUAACACGUAUGCAACCUGGCCGUGACAGAUGGAUAACCGGGAGAAAUCCCGCCUAAUACAACAUAAUGCCGGGAGGGGACAUCCCCUGCCGGCCAAAGGGGGCGACCCCGGUCACGGAUGGGCAUGCGGCGCAUUAGGUAGUUGGUGGGGCAACGGCCCACCAAGCCGACGAUGCGUAGGGGUUCUGAGAGGAAGGUCCCCCACAUUGGAACUGAGACACGGUCCAAACUCCUACGGGAGGCAGCAG